rnacentral:lncRNA from 1 species
AUCCCUGACGAACAACGGUCUUACCGGGGUUGACCUGAUCCGCUGCUGGGUCGAAUGGCGGAUUCUUCCUCUGAGCCGCCGAGAUGGCCUAAUGUGUGAAUUUGACGGCACUCUAGAUCAUCCCCAAUGCUACUUUCACACAGCAUUAACAGAGAAAGACAUUGUUGCCAUCAUCAAAAAGCUGACCGGCGAGCCCGCAGGAUAGUGCGGCCAAAUCGACCUUAAGCCCUUCUGCAAGAUUAACCCGGCGCCCAAGGUAACCAAAGCUGACCCGCCCUUGAUUUUUAUUCCUUCUGUUUUAUUGCCAUCAUGACUUCAUACCAUAUACCUUUCCAGAAAGGCGACAAGUUCUGGUCCAUGAGACCUAAAAAGCAAGCCAUGAAAACUGCUAAGC